rnacentral:rRNA from 1 species
UACGUAGGGAGCAAGCGUUGUUCGGAUUUACUGGGCGUAAAGGGCGCGUAGGCGGCGCGACAAGUCACUUGUGAAAUCUCCGGGCUUAACUCGGAACGGUCAAGUGAAAACUGUCAUGCUAGAGUGCAGAAGGGGGCAAUCGGAAUUCUUGGUGUAGCGGUGAAAUGCGUGGAUAUCAAGAGGAACACCUGAGGUGAAGACGGGUUGCUGGGCUGACACUGACGCUGAGGCGCGAAAGCCAGGGGAGCAAACGGG